rnacentral:rRNA from 1 species
AACGUAGGGCGCAAGCGUUAUCCGGAAUUAUUGGGCGUAAAGAGCUCGUAGGCGGUUUGUCGCGUCUGCCGUGAAAGUCCGGGGCUCAACUCCGGAUCUGCGGUGGGUACGGGCAGACUAGAGUGAUGUAGGGGGAGACUGGAAUUCCUGGUGUAGCGGUGAAAUGCGCAGAUAUCAGGAGGAACACCGAUGGCGAAGGCAGGUCUCUGGGCAUUAACUGACGCUGAGGAGCGAAAGCAUGGGGAGCGAACAGG